GAACGCACAUUGCACUCCUUUGGAGUAUGCCUGUUUGAGAAUCUAUAGUAUUUAUUUUUGGUUAUUUCGCAAGAGAUAAUCAAGAGAUUUGAGGUGUCUCUUUCGAGAGUACCUUUAAUGUUAUAGCCUCUUUUGUGGUAAAACAACUCUGCAGAACAGUAUUUGAAUGGAACUUUGGUUUCUUUAAUGCCUAAUAUGCAGACUUACCUAUUGAAAAGGGGGUCCAUAAACUUAAAGUAGUACCUCGGUGCUAAUUGAAACAUGGUCUCAAAUCAGGUAGGAAGACCCGCUGAACUUAAG
rnacentral:misc_RNA from 1 species